rnacentral:rRNA from 1 species
AUUGAACGCUGGCGGCAGGCCUAACACAUGCAAGUCGAGCGGGCGUAGCAAUACGUCAGCGGCAGACGGGAGAGUAACACGUGGGAACGUGCCCUUUGGUUCGGAAUAACUCAGGGAAACUUGAGCUAAUACCGGAUAAGCCCUUCGGGGGAAAGAUUUAUUGCCAUUGGAGCGGCCCGCGUCGGAUUAGCUAGUUGGUGAGGUAAUGGCUCACCAAGGCGACGAUCCGUAGCUGGUCUGAGAGGAUGACCAGCCUCACUGGGACUGAGACACGGCCCAGACUCCUACGGGAGGCAGCAGUGGGGAAUAUUGGACAAUGGGCGCAAGCCUGAUCCAGCCAUGCCGCGUGGAUGAUGAAGGCCCAGGGUUGUAAAGUCCUUUUAACGGGGAAGAUAAUGACGGUACCCGUAGAAUAAGCCCCGGCUAACUUCGUGCCAGCCGCCGCGGUAAAAC